GUUUGCCUGUAUAUAGAUGGUGUUCAGCACCAAGGACAGCUGUGUUUAGCUGUGUGUGGAUGGUGUUCAGCACCAAGGACAGGUGUGUUUACCU
rnacentral:pre_miRNA from 1 species